rfam:Caenorhabditis brenneri strain PB2801 C_brenneri-6.0.1_Cont50.10, whole genome shotgun sequence.
GUGGGUUUUGGUGAUAUGGUGCCCAAGACCUAUCUGGGGAUGCUGGUCGGAUCCCUGUGUGCCUUGAUGGGUGUACUGACGAUUGCGCUGCCUGUCCCGGUUAUUGUGUCGAAU